rnacentral:rRNA from 1 species
UACGUAGGGUGCAAGCGUUAUCCGGAAUUAUUGGGCGUAAAGAGCUCGUAGGCGGUUUGUCGCGUCUGCUGUGAAAACUGGAGGCUCAACCUCCAGCCUGCAGUGGGUACGGGCAAACUAGAGUGGCGGUAGGGGAGAUUGGAAUUCCUGGUGUAGCGGUGGAAUGCGCAGAUAUCAGGAGGAACACCGAUGGCGAAGGCAGAUCUCUGGGCAUUAACUGACGCUGAGGAAGCGAAAGCAUGGGGAGCGAACAGG